UGGUAGCUCAGUUGGAUAGAGUACUUGACUACGAAUCAAGGGGUCGGGGGUUCGAAUCCUCCCC
rnacentral:tRNA from 2 species